UGAAGCGCGCGGCGGGCGGGGCGGGGGACGGGGCGCAGCAGGCGCGAAAACUCCGCAAUACACGAAAGUGUGACGGGGCUAUCCCGAGUGCCAUCCGCUGAGGGUGGCUUUUCCCCAGUGUAUAAGGCUGGGGGAAUAAGGAGAGGGCAAGCCUGGUGUCAGCCGCCGCGGUAAUACCAGCUCUCCGAGUGGUGGGGAUGCUUAUUGGGCCUAAAGCACUCGUAGCCUGCUUGGCAAGUCCUCCGUUAAAUCCAACGAUUCAAUCGUUGGGCUGCGGGGGAUACUGUCCGGCUAGGGGGCGGGAGAGGCCGACGGUAUCCUCGGGGUAGGGGUGAAAUCCUAUAAUCCCGGGAGGACCACCAGUGGCGAAGGCUGUCGGCUAGAACGCGCUCGACGGUGAGGGAUGAAAGCUGGGGGAGCGAACCGGAUUAGAUACCCGGGUAGUCCCAGCUGUAAACGAUGCAGGCUAGGUGUUGGCGCGGCUACGUGCCGCUCCAGUGCCGCAGGGAAGCCGUUAAGCCUGCCGCCUGGGAAGUACGGCCGCAAGGCUGAAACUUAAAGGAAUUGGCGGGGGAGCACCACAAGGUGUGAAGCUUGCGGUUUAAUUGGAGUCAACGCCGGAAAUCUCACCGGGGGCGACAGCAGAAUGAAGGUCAGAUUGAAGGUCUUACCAGACAAGCUGAGAGGAGGUGCAUGGCCGUCGCCAGUUCGUGCCGUGAGGUGUCCUGUUAAGUCAGGCAACGAUCGAGACCCGCGUCCCCUGUUGCCACCGGCCUUGAGCCGAGCACACUGGGGAGACUGCCGCCGAUAAGGCAGAGGAAGGAGCGGGCCACGGCAGGUCAGUAUGCCCCGAAUCCCCCGGGCUACACGCGAGCUGCAAUGGCAGGUACAGAGGGUACCGACUCUGAAAGGAGAAGGAAAUCCCGAAAGCCUGCCGUAGUUGGGAUCGAGGGUUGAAACUCACCCUCGUGAACAUGGAAUACCUAGUAACCGCGUGUCACUACCGCGCGGUGAAUACGUCCCUGCUCCUUGCACGAAUUCGCCGA
rnacentral:rRNA from 1 species